ensembl:lncRNA novel transcript
UAGAAGGAGAAUAUUGAAUAUUCCCAACACAAAGAAGUGAUAAAUGUUUGAGAUAUGAAUAUGGUAAUUACCCUAAUCUGAUCUCUAUAUAUUAUAUCAUUGAAACAUCACAAUGUACCUACAAAUAUGUACAAUUAUUACUUGUCAUUUAAAAAAAUAAAAAAUUGAGUAGGUUAAACUGGCUUAUUAUUGCAAACUGCCAGAGUAUAUUUAGCCAUUCCUUGGCAUUUGAUCAUUUGGAGCAUUUUCAGUUAGUUUUUUUAAUGUUCAGACAUACACAGCUAUAAUAUGUUGGCACAGUAAUCAUACAAACCCUCUCUUCCCCCAUUUCAACUUACUUCUUGGGAUAUAUUCUCAGGAAUAUUAUUAUCAGAAAGAGCAUGAUGAAAAUAUUGGAUCGUGGUGGCUAUUUUAUUUUGUCUAGGAUGUUUUCCCAUUUCCUGUCUUCUUGUUCACCUCCCUUUUCUUCAGGAAAUGCACAAGGAGGAGUGUGGUCCAGGGAGUGGUCAUUUAUAGUGCUCACCUUCACUGGAUGGGCUCCUCAUUCUCCUGUAUUCCUCUGGGAAAUGACUGAUUUGUCAGUGUUGGGGGAAGGACAUGUGACCUGAGUCUGUCCAAUCAGUGUCCAUGUUGGAGAGGGAAAGAUUCAGUCCUCUGUUUCUCUUGGAUCUUGAGAUAUAGGAUGCAGGCCUUAGAUGGUCAACAGCUCAGUCUUCAAUGGUGUGAGCUACUCUAGGGUCCUUCAAAAUUACAGAGGAAUGCAAUUUUUACUUACUUCAGAAAGUCUUGAACAAUAUGAUUGGUUUUGUGAUGUUUUUCUCUAAAUCUUACUCAAUUUGCUGUCCUGAAAGAUUACUCAUUUGCAAUGUCACUAGCAGGGGAUGAGUCAACCGACAUCCCCAUUGCCCCACAUACAUGGUUUUAGAAUUUUUAAAUUGCCUUUACUAAUUUAAUACGUAUGAGGGUCAUCUAAGUUUAGAAUUCUGGACCUAUGUAUACAUGUGCUAUGUUAUAUAUAUAUAUAUAUAUAUAUGAAAGAAAUACAUCAGCUUAUCUUAACCGUUCAUCAUUAAAAUGGUUGGAAAAAAAAGAAUUCUGGACCUAUAGCCCAUCUUGUCACAUAUUGCUUUUCUCAGACUCCUUCAGAAAUGCAACACAGAGGACUCUAGCCCAACGCAUAAUCUACACUCCAAACUGAAGUUUCUCCUUCAAACUUUGUCUGCUUUACCAUCCUGAUGAGCUUGCCUUCACAUUAACUCAAUGACCCAUGUUGCCCUGUUCACCGAAAUCCUGAAACCAACACUGAGGUAGUCCUGGAGCCUGGCUGUGGCUCUGCCCAACUUUCCUGAGCCACCUCCACUCCUUGCUACUACUGGUCACAGUGGAGAGAUACACAGAGGACAACAGGCAAGGAAAAAAGAGAGCUGAAGAUUAUCAUUAUUUCCUCACUCUUUUCAUCAAAGAUAUUAUCUCCUGGUCCUGAAAUAGUAAAACCAUGCAAGCAAGAAAAGCAUGUGGUGAAAUAUUUAAAGAAUUGAAAGGAAAAAAAAA